AUUGAACGCUGGUGGCAGGCCUAACACAUGCAAGUCGAGCGAGCGGCGGACGGGGGAGUAAUGUAUGGGGACUGCCCGAUAGAGGGGGAUAACUACUGGAAAAGGUAGCUAAUACCGCAUACUAUCGGAUAACCCAUAUGGGAUUAGCUAGUAGGUGAGGUAAUGGCUCACCUAGGCGACGAUCCCUAGCUGGUCUGAGAGGAUGAUCAGCCCCACGGGGACUGAUACCCGGCCCAGACGCCGACGGAGGCAGCAGUGGGGAAUAUUGCACAAUGGGCGCAAGCCUGAUGCAGCCAUGCCGCGUGUAUGAAGAAGGCCCUAGGGUUUUAAGGUACUUUCAGUCGGGAGGCGUUCCCGACAGAAGAAGCACCGGCUAACUCCGUGCCAGCCGCCGCGGUAAUUC
rnacentral:rRNA from 1 species